CUGACGCGUCGAAGACACAGUGUAUCGGUGAAUAAAAUAUGGAGAAUAUUAACUGGUUAUUACAAGUAUACAACAAUUUAGAAACCGGGGUUCAAAUCGAAACCGUUAGCCCCGAUGGACAUGUAUAUCAUAUUCAUGGUACUGGAGCUCAGCCAGUUAUUAUACUAUUUAGAAUGCGAAGGCGCCGCCGCCAAUCGAACAAUGAAGGAUCGACGGAC